CUUCAGUGAAGAGAUGAUGACGAGUCUGAUUGGAGGUGUUAUCUUUGUCCAGGUGGCUUACUCUGUGCUGCGUUCUGUGGGGCAGGUUUAAGGAUCCUGGGUCAAAGUGACUUCCUUAAGAUGACCAAGAGGCAUUUGUCUGAGAAGG
ensembl:snoRNA SNORD15 Small nucleolar RNA SNORD15